CUCCCCGUUAUCUCUUGGCCAUCUAACUUGUGGAAGGCCCCCAUGCCCUUGAAGAUAAAGAUCUUCGGUUGGCAGCUUCUUAGAAAUCGCCUCCCUUCGGGGACCGAGGUGCUCAAGCGACAGGGCCCGGGUGAUGGACUUUGCCCUUUAUGCAGGGUCCCUGAGACUAUGACCCACAUCAUAUUCUCAUGCACGGCAGCUCGGGUCCUUUGGCAGUUCAUCCGUGAGGCACUAAGGCCCGACUGGGAGGCCCUGGAUCUCGUGGACUUCCUCCAUGCCAGGACGACACUGCCGCAUAUUCUGGCUGAUCUUUGCGGCCAUGUCAUGGACUCUUUGGACGACAAGAAAUAA
rnacentral:rRNA from 1 species